GACCACGGAUGAAUGAAAUAAUGAGCUGACAGUAAUAGAAGAAUCUUGGGAUUGAACAAAAUCCAGAAGCAUAAUAAAAUACUGAUGCCUGAGCCAAUAUGUUUGUAUUCCCUAUCUACCUCAUUUUUAUGAUGACAUACAUAAGAGCUCAAAAACCAGAUCAGAGAAAUUUAUUCAAUAAUGGAGGCUGGAUACCAAGAACAGAUCUUGCGAGUAAUAUUAACUCAAAAAAUCUUAAGCAGACAUCCAAUAAUACGGACAAAGCAUUUGUUCCGUUGGAUAUACAUGAAAUUAAUGAAAAUAUUGAUUCCUUUACAGAUUUUGGUAAGGAUCAAAAGAACGAUAAAGUUGUCAUUCAAUCAAGAUCUCUCUACAGCAGGGUAAACAUUGAUGGAGGAGGAGUUUCCAGUUCCAAAGAUACACUAAUGAGGAGAAACUCAUUUGAGACCCAAAGCACUAACAUACCUUUGAUUGAAACUUUCAGGGAAAAAUUUCAAGAGCAAGAAAUAAGAGCUAGAAAAACUGAUACCAAUGAAUCCGAAAAAAGUGAAAUUAAAUUUUUGAUUGGUGCCAAAAAGGGACAUGAAUCAUCCACAGAAAAGCAUCAGAUGGCUGAAAAAGAUGCAACUGUAGUCCGAUAUAUUGAUGAAAAAGCAGAAAAGAAGAAACAGAGCUUAUCUUCAGCACAAAAGUCAAGAGACGCAGGAUCAAAUAAUUUUACAAAAGCAUCUGCAUUAAAUAAGAUCUCAGAUCAAUUAAACUUGACAACCAACUCCACUAAUAUUGCGGCCAAAAACUCCUCGACUGAAAAAGUGACGAAAAAUGAUAUCAAGCCACAGCAACCUGUGUUGUCUGGCGGAAAACUCUCUCAGCCUUCAUUAAAACAAAUAAGCCACUUAAAAAUGAUACAUCAAUGGUGUCUAGAUUUCGAAAACAAGUGCUAAACUGGCAGAGUCGAGGUCCUCCACGUUUUAGCAGUGUCGAUGCUUCACAUAGAAUUCCACCGACUCACAGCUACUCAACUCUUGCUCUUCAAGCACCAGAGCCAUUCUCACAAAAAAGGACCGAUUUUUUUUCACAAAGACCAUUAAAAUUAGCUCAGCCGUACCCUGCACAAAGUUUUAAACCCGGAACACCUGAAUAUUUGCCUGAUCGAGACUUUGGUCUUUUCGAUCGGCAAGACCAAGCAGGUCAGUUUUAUCCUCAAGGAUACCUUGCUCAGCCACUACCAAACAACAGUUCAUAUUAUAACACGCCAGUUGUGAACUACUAUUAUCCAUCUGUAAGUUAUCAGCCAACUAGAGCGCCACAAGUUGAACUAACGACACAAGCGUAUCCACCACUGGGUGUACCAUCACAAACCUACCAGGUUCCAGGCUAUCAAUAUGGUCCACCUGACCAGAGCUACGGCACCCCAGAGCUCCCAGAACUCCAGCCAAUUCAAGAAGCAAAGCCAUAUCGACCGCAAGGAUACUUUAGGAUCAUUCUAAAUGAUGAUAGGUGUGUGAUGAGUCGCCAGGUUGGAGCCGAGGCACUCAUCGAUGUUUCACUGUUGUUUAGGAGUCAAAAAAGCCAGCUGAAAAAUUGUGCCCUAAUGUUCUCAUCAACACUUAAUAUUGCUUUAUCAAGUAUGAUCCAGUCGGAUGACAACAUUACAACGGUUGAUUUGGCGCGUCAGCUAAAUCUACGACUGUUUACCGUCCUACCCGCUGGCCACAUCUCAGAAAUUAAGUCCCCAUGGUACAUGGAUGACACGUCACCCGGCCUGACAUUUGCAGACACAGGGACCAUAAUCAUCACGUUUCAGCCUAGCACACCUCUUAAUUUUCGACUUCUCAUAUUUUCCUACAGAGACACAAUUCCUCGCGUUCCAGGAAUUGCUACUUCCGUCCUUGUUGCCAAUGCAACUGCGCCCCUCAGUGAGACCACUCUCGUAGAAAUCCCAGAGUCAACUACUCAGAAACAGGAUGGACUAUUACCUACCACUGAGAAACAGAAUGAAUUAUUACCUACCACUGAGAAACAGGAUGAAUUAUUACCUACCACUGAGAAACAGGAUGAAUUAUUACCUACCACUGAGAAACAAAACACAACAUCAUCCACCACUGAAAAACCAGACGCAAUGGUAUCUUCCACACCAGAACCAGAGUUUCUUGAAAUGUUAUAG
rnacentral:lncRNA from 1 species